CAUAGGCAGUGGCUUGGUUAAGGGAACGGAACCCACCGGAGCUGUAGCGAAAGCGAGUCUUAAUAGGGCGAUUGUCACUGCUUAUGGACCCGAACCUGGGUGAUCUAUCGAUGACUAGGAUGAAGCUUGGAUGAAACUAAGCAGAGGUCCAAACCGACUGAUGUUGAAGAAUCAGCGGAUGAGUUGUGGUUAGGGGUGAAAUGCCACUCGAACCCAGAGCUAGCUUG
rnacentral:rRNA from 1 species